ensembl:lncRNA
CCUGGUACUGUCUAAAGGUUAAGAGAUGACCUGGUACUGUCUAAAGGUUAAGAUAUGACCUGGUACUACCUAAAGGUUAAGAGAUGACCUGGUACUGUCUAAAGGUUAAGAUAUGACCUGGUACUGUCUAAAGGUUAAGAUAUGACCUGGUACUGUCUAAAGGUUAAGAUAUGACCUGGUACUACCUAAAGGUUAAGAUAUGACCUGGUACUACCUAAAGGUUAAGAUAUGACCUGGUACUGUCUAAAGGUUAAGAUAUGACCUGGUACUGUCUAAAGGUUAAGAUAUGACCUGGUACUGUCUAAAGGUUAAGAUAUGUCAUCUGUUUGCUGCAAAUGCACUCAAACUUGUCUAUCCUUUUGGACCAAAUUAGAAUCUGUCGUUAGGCCAUAUUACUAGAAACCUACUGGAUUUAAUGAUGUCUAGGUAACUGAUGUUUACCAGUUGUAAAUUUCACUGUGCCUUGCAAAUUCUUUUUUAAAAAUGUGUUUAUUUAAGUAGUGAGUAUAAUAGGUUACUUCCCCAAUCUAGAUACAGGACCUGGGCUGUCUCAAUAGUGUAAGCGUGCUUCCUUUCAUUGUACUUCUCCUUCGUGAUCUCUGAUCUGGCAGGUGGAAGCAACAUAUGGUGAAAGCCUCUCUCACCUAUCAUGAAGGAAAGGAGAUGAAAGAAGGAAGCCAGUGUAGUGGAUUGAGAUAUCUCCCAUGCAGCCCCAGUCUCCUUUAUAUUAAGCCCAAUGCUCUUAGACACCGGUCAGUGUUGUCUUAAAAAGGAAAGGAAUUGAUUUGGUAUAUGAAUGAACCUGGUCUGCCAAACAACAGCCAAACAGCUGUUAAAUAUGCCUACCUGGUCAGGUCAAGGGGUCAGUAGUAACUCCAGGCUCUUAUGUCCACUACUACGGUGGCCCAGAGUGGACAUCUAUUAGUUUACAACCAAGGUUGGGGGUAAAUUCCAUUUCAAUUCAGGAAGGAAAAAUUGGAAUUUCAACAAUCGUCAAUGCUUUUUAAUGAGGAAACAUUUGGAAUUGUAAUUUGGUUUUAACUUUCUGAUUUGAAAUGGAAUCGAACCCCCCCGUCAACCCUGUUUACAACCAUGUACAUUAUUACAUACCGAUGAAUGUUCUAGUUUGUUCAGGUCAAAGUGCUGCGUUUCGGUGUUUUCUUAAAGCAUCCCUCUCCAUUCAUAGCUACACGUUGUUGUGUUCAUGUAUUUGACCC